CUUGGUGAAGUGGAUGCUAUCUUGGUAGAUUUACCCUUGUGUGCGGAAGUUUGUGUUCUUCUACUCGCGAAUCUCAAGAUUUCGUCUCCAAGUCAGUCUAAUUUACUGCUAUAUCGUGUUGUAAAGCACUUGUAGUGUUCUCAUUACUUUGUUGCCACGACUACUCCUCAAGUCCUCUUUUCGUGGAUAUUGCGUUCUUUUCUGUACAGAGUGCAGUGAAUCUACCUCUGUGUUCGCAGCAGCAGGACAGGGUAAUUUCGGUGCGCGUUUCUCCAUUCAGAUUGGACUAUUAUCUCGGAAAAAGUUUUGCUUGCCGCAUGGACUUGAGUUUGCUGUGCGUACUUUCCCCCCUUUUUGGACUUAGGAGCAAGGUGUGUGUUACAGGCGGCCAUCAUCUACAAGUGUACCUUCAAAGUGGUCAACACACGGGUAAAUAUCACUUCUUUUUAUGUCACGCUUUCGUCUGUUUCUCAUAGAUCUGAAGUGUCUAUUCCUAGAUUAUUAUAUAUAUUUUUACCAAUACAUGUACGAUAUAAAUAGAGAUAUUUUACAUGCUUUUCUGCCUCUGUCUGUCUGAAUGCCUGUCUCCCGACCUGUCUUUUUCUCUC